rnacentral:rRNA from 1 species
GACAGAGGGGGCAAGCGUUGUCCGGAUUGACUGGGCGUACAGCGCGCGCAGGCGGCUGUGGACGUGCCCUGUGACGGGCGGAGGCUCAACCUCCGACGGCCAGGGUAGACGCCACGACUAGAGGCAGGGAGAGGGCAGUGGAAUACCCGGUGGAGCGGUGAAAUGCGUAGAGAUCGGGUGGAACACCAGGGGCGAAGGCGGCUGCCUGGCCCUGACCUGACGCUGAGGCGCGAGAGCGUGGGGAGCAAACAGG